CCUGGUUGAUCUUGCCAGUAGUCAUAUGCUUGUCUCACAGAUUAAGCCAUGCAAGUGAAAGUACAUAUGUAAAUAAUAUAUUGAAACUGCGAACGGCUCAUUAAAACAGUUAUAAUCUACUUGAUGUUUUUAAUAUAAGGAUAACUACGGAAAAUCUGUAGCUAAUACUUGUGAAAAUACCUUUUGAUAUAUACAUAUGUAUGUAUCAUUAAGGUAUGUAUUUGUUAGAUAUAAGAAUAAAAUAAAUAUAAUUGAAUUAUAACAAAGAAGAAACACAUAAAAUAUGUGUAUUAUCAAUCGAGUAUCUGACCUAUCAGCUUUUGAUGUUAGGGUAUUGACCUAACAUGGCUAUGACGGGUAACGGGGAAUUAGAGUUCGAUUCCGGAGAGGGAGCCUGAGAAAUAGCUACCACAUCUAAGGAAGGCAGCAGGCGCGUAAAUUACCCAAUUCUAAAAAAGAGAGGUAGUGACAAGAAAUAACAAUACAAUAUCGAAAAAUGAUUUUGUAAUUGGAAUGAUAGGAAUUUACAAGGUUCCUAGAGAAACAAUUGGAGGGCAAGUCUGGUGCCAGCAGCCGCGGUAAUUCCAGCUCCAAUAGCAUAUAUUAAAAUUGUUGCAGUUAAAACGUUCGUAGUUGAAUAUUAAAGAAUCCGAUGUUUCAUUUAAACUGGUUUGGGAAAACCAAAUAUAUUAUAUAUUUUGCUUUGUUCAAAAUAAGGUUUUCUAAUAAAUUAUGUUUUUAUCAGAUAUGACAGAAUCUUUUUUAAAAUCUCUUCAAUAUGCUUUUAUUGCUUUUGAGAGGUUUUGUUACUUUGAGUAAAAUUAAGUGUUCAUAACAGACGGGUAGUCAUGAUUGAGUUCAUUGUGUUUGAAUACUACAGCAUGGAAUAACAAAUAUGAAUAAGCUAAUUAUUUUUUUUUUUCAUAAUUUUUUUUGAUAUUCUUAUUAGCUUAGUUACGAUUAAUAGGAGUAGCUUUGGGGGCAUUCGUAUUCAGAUGUCAGAGGUGAAAUUCUAAGAUUUUCUGGAGACGGACUACUGCGAAAGCAUUUGCCUAAUCUAUUUCCAUUAAUCAAGAACGAAAGUUAAGGGAGUGAAGACGAUCAGAUACCGUCGUAAUCUUAACCAUAAACUAUACCGACUAGGUGUUGGAUGAAUAUAAAAAAUAUAUAAAUAUGUAGCAUUUCUUAGGGAAUGUUGAUUUUAUAUUAGAAUUGCUUCCUUCAGUACCUUAUGAGAAAUCAAAGUCUUUGGGUUCUGGGGCGAGUAUUCGCGCAAGCGAGAAAGUUAAAAGAAUUGACGGAAGGGCACCACCAGGCGUGGAGCUUGCGGCUUAAUUUGACUCAACACGGGAAAACUCACUAGUUUAAGACAAGAGUAGGAUUGACAGAUUAAUAGCUCUUUCUUGAUUUCUUGGAUGGUGAUGCAUGGCCGUUUUUAGUUCGUGAAUAUGAUUUGUCUGGUUAAUUCCGAUAACGAACGAGAUCUUAACCUGCUAAUUAGCGGUAAGUACACUAUAUUUUUAUUUGAAAUUGAAUAUAGGUAAUUAUACAUGUUUAUUCAGUGUUCAAAUUAGGAUAUUUUUUUAUUAAAAUAUUCUUUUCCCUGUUCUACUAAUAAUUUGUUUUUUUUUACUCUAUUUCUCUCUUCUUUUAAGAAUGUACUUGUUUGAUUAAAUAAAGCUUCUUAGAGGAACAGUGUGUAUCUAACACAAGGAAGUUUAAGGCAACAACAGGUCUGUGAUGUCCUUAGAUAAACUAGGCUGCACGCGUGCUACAAUGAUAUAUAUAACAAGUUGUUAAAAAUGUACUUAUAAAUAAGUGUGUACAGUUUUUCCUGUACUGAAAAGUAUAGGUAAUCUUUAUCAGUAUAUAUCGUAAUUGGGAUAGAUUAUUGCAAUUAUUAAUCUUGAACGAGGAAUGCCUAGUAAGCAUGAUUCAUUAGAUUGUGCUGACUACGUCCCUGCCCUUUGUACACACCGCCCGUCGCUCCUACCGAUUGAAAGAUAUGAUGAAUUGUUUGGAUAUGAAUUAAAAUAAUGAAAUUUUAUAUUUCUGAUUUUUUCUAGAAGAACUGUAAAUCCUAUCUUUUAAAGGAAGGAGAAGUCGUAACAAGGUUUCCGUAGGUGAACCUGCGGAAG
rnacentral:rRNA from 1 species